rnacentral:lncRNA from 1 species
GUAGAGGUAGAAUUCGAAAAGGACCCGUAUGUCUCUAUUGUGUAUUUACAUGAGUUUGAAAUUGGACAUUCGCAAAACCUAUUUAAUCAUCAUGUACCUAAACCAAGUUCAACCCAUAUCAUGGCAUGUAAGCAUCUCCCCGUGUUAUCUCUGCAGCCAAUUUCAACCCAAAAAAAGGGCCUGUUCUGCGAGGUGCAAGUAGCUAACGGAAUCUCAGCGCUCAAAAGCUCAAUGUACUUCAACACGAACAUGCCACAAUCGCCUCUGAAGCAAAACAAGAACUCG